rnacentral:lncRNA from 1 species
AGGGAUCAAAUCUGAGCCACAGGUGCAACCCAUGGCAUACCUGCCACAACACAGGAUCCCUAACCCACUACACCAGGCCAGGGUUCAAAUCCACACCUCAAACCCAAUGCCUGGACAGACAGCACAGGAUCCCUUGUGCACCACAGCAGGAAUUCAUCAAAUAUCUUACUUUAAAAUUCAAACAAACAGGAACAUUUAUCUGUGUACUUUAAAUAGGAAGUAGGUGUGACAUGGGAAUGAUAUUUGUUUACCACAUGUGAAUGCGAUUAUUUGGGGAAUUUAAAAAUACACUUCAUGGAACAAAAGUCAUUCAAUAAUAGAAACAUCAUGAAAUGCCUACUUCAAGAAACCUGAGUUUUAGAAAUAAUGUAUUUUGUUCAAUAAAAACAAUUCUAUUCUGAUCUGCCUAACACUGGAAAUCAACAUUUAAUUUCAGGAUUGUGAACAAUAAACAAAUAAAUAUAAUAGGAAGGUAGAAAUUUCUUCCUUUUCUUCUUUUCUCCUCUCCUCACCUUUCCUUUUUCCACAGAUUACUGAGCAAUAGAAAAUGAAAAAGAAAAUAUGAAUAUUUCAAUGAAUAAGAACUUAUUUAUCAAAUGAGUAUAAUACAUCAAUCACAAUGGUAAACAUUCUUAUUAAAGGCAGAAUCCCUUUUAAUUUUCACAAUAACUCUUUAUGGUGGAUGCUAUUUCUCUACCCGUUUUACAUAGAAACUGAGGACUAGAGAAUGUAGUGGUAUUUUUUAUUGCAACCUGCUUAUUCCUUCUCAAAAGAGUAACAAUUUUGAUGUUAUCUACUCUUCAUCUGUGAGUCUAUUCCACACUCAUUUAUUUGAAUUGGACAGACAUCAGUAAUUCUAUAUGAACCAUUCCUUAAUUCUUAAGUCAUGAAGAGAAAUUGGAAGCUUCUGGAAAAUAUUUACUUGCUAAUACGAGAAAGCACAGGAAGGAAUGUUUUAACUUCUUCCUCUGAAUAUGAUUGUGUCUUGGUAACAACAGGAUUAUCUGUAGCCAUUGGCUGCAGUGAUGAUGAAAUUGACUAUAAGCAUGAUAGAUUACAGAGAUGAGAAAAAAAAAAACAAAACAAACCUGCAUCCUCGAUGGUAUUUCAAAGACACUGAUUAAAUCUGUCCAAAAAGCCAUGCUGUUGUCUAAUGAAGUUUAAGUCCAUUUGAAUUGGGGUUUCUUUUAUUUGCAACCGAAAGUAGCCUAAUUGAAAGAGGUUGUUUAAUAUAAUUCAGAGUUCUCCAAAAAAAACAAAAACAAAAACCCAGACCUAAGAGGAUGGAGAGAGACAGACAGAGGGAGAGAGAGAUGAUAGAUAUGUAGAUUUAGAUGUAUAGAUUAGACUUAUUAUAAGGAGUUGGCUCACAUAAUUAUGGAGGCUGGCCAAGUCCCAAGGUCUGCAGGAUGAGUCAGAAAGCAGAAGACCCAGGAAAGCUGGUGGUUUAAUUACAGUUUGAAGGCCAGCAGGCUGGAGACCCAGGGUGAGCUGAUGUUCCAGUUUAAAUCUGAGGGCAGGAAAAAAGCCAAUGUCCCAGUUCUAAGGCUGUCAAGUAAGAGGAAUUCUCUCUUACUUGAGGAAGAACGAGUAUUUUUGUUCUAUUAAAGACUUCAAUUGACUGGAUGAGGCCUACUCACAUUAUGGAGGACAAUCUGCUUUACCCAGAUUUCAGAUUUAAAGUUUAACUUUAUCCAAAAACACCAUCCCAGGAAGACUCAAAAUAAUGCUUAAGCAAAUAUCUGGCACUGUGGGACCUGGUCAAACUGACACACAAAAUUAAUCAUCACAGAGGUGUUAAAAGUUCACAAUGCUGUCAGUAGAAGAGAUAAGAUUUGAACCCAGGUGCUCUAUCUCAAGGGCUUCUGCUUACAAACACUAGGACAUAUUGACAUAAUUCCUUCAGAGAGAAAGAAAAGCUACUUUUUCCUAGGGUGAAAUGUAAAUAACCCUGAAAGUUAUCUCUAAUAAAAAUUACUAUGAAAGUUAGCUUUCUAGUUGGCUAAAAUAUCCCACCAUUGUCAUAACUACCAAAUAAUUUUCUUAAGAAGUAUUUUGUGAGUAGCUGGUUAAUUUUAUUUAGAAGUUGAGAGGGCAGAGUCAAUGUUACUUCAACAGGCUUCAAAGCCUUAGUGACUAGAAUGAUGACAAUGUUAAGAAAUAAUUCAAGUGUUUUGAUGGGGAAAUUCAAUCUUAGGUUCUAGUGACAGAUGCAUAUAGAGAUAUUCAAUAGACAGUAGAUAACCUAGAGUUCAGUUGAAAGAUUAAAACUAGAUAUAUAAAUCUGUGGUUACAGGAUCUACUCUUUUUCAUGACUUUAAUGUAUAUGAUAUAUAUUAUAUAUAAUAUGUUUUAUAUAUAUAACACCUUGAUUGAGAUAUAAUUCAAAUACUAUUUGAAGUAAACAAUUCAAUGGUUUCCAACAUACUGAGUUGUGCAAUUCUUCUCUACAGUCAAUUUUAGAACAUUUUCAUUACCUGAAAAAAAGAAACCCUGGACCCAGUAGCAGUCACUUUCCAUUUCUUCCCAACCCAUGACAAUAGGCUUCUACUAAUCACCAUUUGUAAAGGUAUCUCCCUGGUACCAGGGAGAGGAAGAUGGCCAAAUUUUUAGAAAUUCUUUUCAAUAGAGGAGGUAAAGACUUAAAUCUGGAUCACAAUCACCCUUGUUUUCUCUGCUUUUCUCAUAAUUGACUCCCUACCCUUAACAUCCUCUUUUGUCUUUAGCUGAAGAUGGUGUUUAAGGUAAGGGUUUCAGUCAUUUUGGCAAGUUACUUAGUUAUCCUGGAUCUCUCCCAUGUAUACAUGUUAUUAAAAUUUGACUUUUCUUCUGUAAAUCUGUCUCAUGACAAGUUAAUUCAUAAACCAGCCAGAAGAACCUAGAAGAUGCUAACUGGAGACUGGCACGUGUCACUUGCCUCUACAAGGAUUAAAUCAUGAGCCCCUGCAGCUGCUGACCUUCAACACCCCCUCAAAGGAACUCAGGGUAGAGAUUAGGAGUGAGACACUUUGUGCUCUGGAAAAACUGGCAGAACAGGCCUUCAGAUAGUUACAUAUUUUUAGGAGAAGAUUUUAUGCAUUGCCUCAUCUAAAAAACCACUAAAAUCCUCCAUGGUGACAUCUGCUCCUCAUGAGUAGCAGUGACCUUCAGGAGACUAGCAGCAACCUUCUGUAAAAAUGUGUGCUUGAUUGCAUGGACCCCCCCAACCCCCUCACCAAAAUCACAUAUAUACUGACAUUCCCUCCUGCCUUUUUGGAGUGUUUUCUCAGAGCUAUCUGAUAGGCCUCUUCCCAGGCUAUAGUCUUCAUUUUGCCCCAAACAAUAUUUAACUCACAAUUCUAUUGAUAUGUAUUUUAUUUUCAGCCAAUAAUGGGUAGAGAAAAACUUCCUGCAUCCCAACACUUUACAAGAAAGUAGUCAAAUUUAAACACAGACCAGGUUCAAAGUAUAGGAAGCCAAUUUACCACAGUACACUUCCAAGAAAGGAUUCUCAUGACCCUUUUAACCACUUUAUCUAAAUGGGAAAACACAGGAAUAGAAAAGACACCAAACACUAUCUCUAUCCUACUUGCUCAUCCUAUGAAGGCUUUGGGACUGAAGCAAACCUAAAGGAGAGAAGAUUUGAUUUUAAAUCAAGUCCAAAAUUUUGAGUAAGAUUUUUAAAGAGAUUUCCUAUUGUGGUACAGCAUAUUAAGGACCUAGUGUUGUCGUCUUUGCAGUAGCUCAGGUUGCUGCUGAGGUACAGGUUCAAUCCCUGGCCUGGUGCAGUGGGUUAUGGAUCUGGUGUUCCUGGACUGUGGUGUAGGUUGCAGCUAUGACUCAGAUUCGAUUCCUGCCCAGAAAUUUCUAUAUGCCAUGGGUAAUAUAUAGGAAUUUUGCAACAAAGGGCAGGUAGUAGGAACAAAAGAUUACUGCUAAGAACAGAAAACUAGAUAGCUCAAGUUAAGGAAUUUAGCACUUUUCUAUGUAUGGGAAGAUGCAAGGUCUGGGCUCACUGAAAUUAUUCCUUUGAUGUGCACCUCAGCCAUUGGGGCCAAUAUCCUACAUUUCCUCAGGGCUCACUGCCAGGAAUGGCUGCAGUCUGAUGGCUGCUAGAUAGCAGGUAUUCUUUGUUUCCUUCCUGAGUUCCCUCAGAGCUCACCAGCUCACUCUUGAAGGUGGCUGCAAUCUCUAACGACAGUGACGUCUUUCGUUUAUUGAUAUGGUAGGCAAUGUUUGAUCUGAAAAUUAAAGUGAGACUAGAAUCUGGGUCAGCAUUUCUUAAGACUGGGAAGAAAAGACAAAGGUUUUCAAGAAUUUUUAUCAUGGGUCAGGGAAGUCACCCUAACCAAAUGAAGGUUAAAGGAAUGCUGAGAGCAAACAUAAAAUUCCCUUCUAUUAUUAUGCUAACAGCACUUAUCCAAUGGUAUUCAAUAAAAUAUUAUAUCAGUGUUACCAUAAUUUUGAGGAGAAUCCAUGGGAAGUUUAUCAAGGUAUAUUUUUAAUUAUAGAAAAGCAAAUUGAGGAGAUCCUAUUGUGGCACAAUAAGAUCAGUGCUGUCUCUGGAGCAAGGUAGUGCAGAUUCAAUCCCAGCAAAACGGGUUAAGGAUCUGGUGUUGCCACAGCUGUAGCAUAGUUCGCAACUGCA